rnacentral:rRNA from 1 species
GUGGGGAAUCUUAGACAAUGGGGGAAACCCUGAUCUAGCCAUGCCGCGUGAGCGAUGAAGGCCUUAGGGUUGUAAAGCUCUUUCAGCUGGGAAGAUAAUGACGGUACCAGCAGAAGAAGCCCCGGCUAACUCCGUGCCAGCAGCCGCGGUAAUACGGAGGGGGCUAGCGUUGUUCGGAAUUACUGGGCGUAAAGCGCGCGUAGGCGGACCAGAAAGUUGGAGGUGAAAUCCCAGGGCUCAACCUUGGAACUGCCUUCAAAACUCCUGGUCUGGAGUUCGAGAGAGGUGAGUGGAAAUCCGAGUGUAGAGGUGGAAUUCGUAGAUAUUCGGAGGAACACCAGUGGCGAAGGCGGCUCACUGGCUCGAUACUGACGCUGAGGUGCGAAAGCGUGGGGAGCAAACAGGAUUAGAUACCCUAGUAGUCC